CCUUGACAUCCAGAGAACUUAGCAGAGAUGCUUUGGUGCCUUCGGGAACUCUGAGACAGGUGCUGCAUGGCUGUCGUCAGCUCGUGUUGUGAAAUGUUGGGUUAACGUCCGCAACGAGCGCAACCCUUAUCCUUUGUUGCCAGCGGUUCGGCCGGGAACUCAAAGGAGACUGCCGGUGAUAAACCGGAGGAAGGUGGGGAUGACGUCAAGUCAUCAUGGCCCUUACGGCCAGGGCUACACACGUGCUACAAUGGCGCAUACAAAGAGAAGCGACCUCGCGAGAGCAGGCGGACCUCAUAAAGUGCGUCGUAGUCCGGAUUGGAGUCCGCAACUCGACUCCAUGAAGUCGGAAUCGCUAGUAAUCGUAGAUCAGAAUGCUACGGUGAAUACGUUCCCGGGCCUUGUACACACCGCCCGUCACACCAUGGGAGUGGGUUGCAAAAGAAGUAGGUAGCUUAACCUUCGGGAGGGCGCUUACCACUUUGUGAUUCAUGACUGGGGUGAAGUCGUAACAAGGUAAGCGUAGCGAG
rnacentral:rRNA from 1 species